rnacentral:rRNA from 1 species
UGCAUGGACCACGUAUGGUUGAGUAUCGUA